ensembl:lncRNA
CAGAAAAAUUGAGCAAGCAAAAUAAUGUGAGAACAACCUAAAAGGUCAUCAGAGAAAACCUUCCUUCGUUGCAAACAUAGAACAGAGCUAAAGGAAGUGGCCCUAAGUUGAUCAAGAGCUUGAAGACGAAACCCUUGACCAAGAGGCUGGUGCUGUAGCAUGGGCAGACAGUGGGCUGCUAACCUCAGGAGGACUAAAUAUGGGAAGUGCCAUCUGUCGUAGAAGGUGUAGGGAGUUCUCCUGAUUGGGCUGGCCAAAGAUUCCUUGAAGUUCCGAUGCUGUGAUGGCUUGAUGAAGGUGUAAAUCCAGUCAAUCAAUUCCUGAAUGAACUAUCCUGGAACUUGAAGUGUCUGUGUUCUUGGCCAGGACUGGCUUCAAGAGAGCUGGUGACCAUCUGUGUGAUUGGAAGGUUGCCAGCAUAUGGCCUCUAUUGCUGUGUCAUGCUGCGUGAAAUCCUGCCAGGUGACAGUCUUCUUUUUUUGGUGAUCAAGAGUUCAAUAGGAUGUGAGUGAUGCAUUUAUGGUUCUCUUUUUACUAUUCAUUUUUUAAAUUCAG